rnacentral:rRNA from 1 species
UACGUAGGGUGCAAGCGUUAAUCGGAAUUACUGGGCGUAAAGCGUGCGCAGGCGGUUUUGUAAGUCUGUCGUGAAAUCCCCGGGCUUAACCUGGGAAUGGCGAUGGAGACUGCAAGGCUAGAGUUUGGCAGAGGGGGGUAGAAUUCCACGUGUAGCAGUGAAAUGCGUAGAGAUGUGGAGGAAUACCGAUGGCGAAGGCAGCCCCCUGGGAUAACACUGACGCUCAUGCACGAAAGCGUGGGAGCAAACAGG